rfam:Eubacterium plexicaudatum ASF492 genomic scaffold acLZb-supercont1.2, whole genome shotgun sequence.
GAAAGCCGGAUACGCUGAGAGGUGUACGUCCGGUUUGGGAGGCGGCUCCCUGAAACCUGCUGGUGAAAGUCAGUAAGGCGCAGGGUGCCUACCUCAU